CCCGCAACGGGGGAUGAAGAGGAAUCCUUAGCUUUUAAUCCUAGGUUAUUAGCAAUAUAAUAAUAAUAUAAACACUUAGUUAGCUAAGGAUUGGUCCGUAAAUAAGGAUUUUAAGGACCAAAUCCUUAUAGACGUGGCGGCUUGGCAUUGGGUGGGGAGAGUACUGUAUUUCGUUUGGAGAAAAAAACAAUUCAUUCUUGACUCAACAAGAAAAAAAAAAUUUGCUCUGGGCAACAAAGAGGCGAUUGUGCAGUUCUUGAUUUCUCUUUGACGAGAAAGGCGACGAAGGCGAGAAAAAGCUUUCCUCUAGUGUUUCCUCUGAUCUCGUACGGAUCUGUCGAAGCAUGGAAACGACGGAUCGAGAUCAGCGACGAUCUAGACGACGUGGAAGACAACGAAGAAGACGAAUCAUGGAAACAGUGGGGGGGAGUAAAGCAGCGACGCCGGAGUUCGAUCCGCCUCCGGCUUUCUCCGACAUGCGCUCCGGUUAGGCGUCCACCGUACUAAGGUAAACAGAACGACGAAUCCAUUCAUGUGAUUGAAAAAGUCGUGAGUUUUUAAAAGAAAUUUGGUCAUGAAGAUAUGGUGGUGGAGAUUGCCAUGAGAUGGACGAAAGUUUUGAGAACAGGUGGGUUAGGAUUGAGAUUCAUGGCUGUGGAUCGAAGCACGGUGAUGUUCAAUAUGCAUAAUGGGAAUGAAGUGACUGAGCUAAGGGAGUUUGUGCUGAGCCAAGAAGAGGCUUAUGAGGUUAAUAUAUGGAAACAAGAGUUUCGAAGACCCGGAGAUCCUCCUCUUGAUGAUGUCUUUGAAAAAAUUCAAGCAAAGCAAAGUAAGGAUGAUGAAGAUGGCAAUGGUUAAAGCGAGAAUGAUGUUACUAAGGAUGAGUUAUGCUGAUUGUUGGUGUCAUACAUGCAACGGAGGAGAGGUAUAGAAACAAAGGAGCUUAUAUUAUACUGCAGGCUCCUGACUUCACUGAUCCUCAGUUUAGAAGUUUUGAAGCAGUUACUCCACGACCAAAGUUAAACGUGCAGGCGAAUCCUUUUUUUUUAACUUUGAAAACGUGAUUGAUUCUGAUGAUGAGAUGGAUAAGUCUGCAUUGGACACCAACGAGGAACAAGCAAGUCACUGAUGCUGAGAUCGUGAAUAUAGCUGAAAGAGGAGAGAAUCUUGUAAUGAAAAUUUUAUUUUUUUAUUCCUAAGAAUUCCAUCUCUGAAAACACUAUUGGAAACACAUUUUUAAUUGGAAUCUUUAGUUAUUCAAAAAAAAAAAAAACAAAAAAAAUAUUACUAAAAUAUUUUUAAGGAUUCUAAGGUGGAGUACACCACUGCAUAUGCUCUUAGAUGGGAAUGUUAAGAACUCGAUCCAAAAUAAGAUAUAUCUAAUUAGUACGUAAGGACUGAACAAUGGUGGUCAUCAGUUUCUGGUGGUCGUAGUUCGAACUAAAAGAUGGCAGGGUCCGA